rnacentral:lncRNA from 1 species
AGGAGAGGUGGAGGAGGAAAAAGAGGAAGAGAAUGGAAAAAAAGGGAGGAGGAGGAAAAAGCGGAAGAGGAGGAGGACGACGACAACAGCGACAAGGACACAGACAAGAACAAGGACAAAGAUGAUGACAACAGAGAUGAAGAAGUUUGAUACCCAUACACUCACGGGAGCAUGGUUAAGCUACCAGUCGCCAGCCCCUAAAAGAAAGCUAAGACCUUCCCCACCUGCACCCCACCCAGAAGCCAUCAGUUGUGGAGUGCUACACUUCAGGAUCUUUAUCACAGUAUUUGAGAAUUCUCUUCACUGGCUUUCUGUCUAGGCUGCUACUAUUUUUUUUUUUGGGGGGGGGGAGUAGAAAUUGUCAUAUAGAUCUUCUAUGUCUCUCUUUCUCAUCUAUGAGUUUGAAGUCGUCAAUACCAAGGCUACAGUAGUUUUCUUGUCCUUUACAGACAGGGGUAACACGGGCUAUAGCAUGAUCCAUGUGCCUCAGCAGGGUCUCUGGUAACAGUACAGACCACCCACAUCAACACACCCUCUGCUGCAGAGCAGGCCACAGACAGCGCCAUGGCCCUCAGCUGCACAGACCAAGGACACCAGCACGGCCUCAGGCAGCAGCACCCAUCUUGGUGGUCUUUUGAGGACAUCAAUCUGGAGGAUGCAUAAUUCUCCAUCCAUAGGCCAGCCCCCUUCAGCAAUGACGUUUCCCGAGGGAGCCCCAGACCACUGUGCACCUUCCUGUCCCUGUCCCUGGCUGCUGGGGCAGGACUGUCCUGUUUGUAGUUGAGCUGCUCCCUCGCUUUCCAACUCUCCUCAGGGCAAGCAGCAGGGACUGCAGUUGCAGAGGCUCCACGCUGGGAGCUCCCUGGCAGGCCUAGAGUGAACCUAGAGUAUUGACCUAUUUCUGUGACCUCUCCAAGCCGUUGCAUACCUUCCUGUUGUUGGUACUGGUUGCCGCAUGGCCCAUUGGUCAUACUUUUGUGCUUACAGCCCUCUGGUCGAGACAGAGCACCAAAUGGUAUGGAUUUGCCAUGUGUGACUCUGUCCUACUACCUUUCUUUCCAAUUUCAUGAAUACACUUUUAAAAAGCAUCUUCCGAUAACUCUCGCCUUGUUUUCCUUAGUUGUUCUGGAGCUAUUUCAGGCUUUGCCUUUUCCCUCACCGUGUCCGCGGGUCUCUCAGACUCCUCAGGGCUAUGUGGAAGGUCCACCACCAUCUUUGUUUUCUUGUGGAACCGUUAAGGAAGUGAAUCAUUAAUCUCUAGCAGUGUUGCUGGCCAUCAUGAAUGCAUUGGCAAUUAUUUUCUAUAUGUGGUUUAAUAAUGUUGUAUUUUCUAAGCAUAUAAUAACUAACAAUAUCCCUGUUUUUUUCUGGUUAAUGUAACUGGAGAUAUAAUAACCAGAACAUGACACUGUGAUGGACACACUACAAGAGAUAGAAAUACACUUGGUUUAGAAGUGGACAUUCUAACCUCUGUAGUGUAUUCCAACCCAUGUCUGAAUGUCCAUAACUCUGAGCAGGGCCAGACAGCUGGGAUGAUACAGAGUGACAAAUGCAAUAAUCUUGGAAAGAGGUGCUACCUGCAGCUCACCUCACUAUUUGCUUGCUUGAUCUUCAUUUCCCUGAAGGGUAUGGAUCAAUUAGAAGGCUUGGUGAUGUCUUAUGUGGUCUGUAAAGAGAAUGAAAAUCACUCUAUGGAGGUACUUUCUCCUUUUUUCAGAACAACCAUCUAUCUUCUCAUCCCAGAGGCAGCAGCAAUAGAGAUAAGAAACAUUCCAGAAAUUUCCAACCUGGUGAAGCAGUGACUUUAUUGGGAUUACUAACAAGGGAGGCUAGAGGCUAGUUACAGGGACAUGAGUGGCUUAAAGUUGUUAUUCAGCAGAACGCCCCCUAUCCCCAGCUAGGUUGGUCAAUCAAGAAAGCAGGGUGCCGGGCAGUGGUGGCGCACACCUUUAAUUCCAGCACUUAGAAGGCAGAGGCAGGCGGAUUUCUGAGUUCGAGGCCAGCCUGGUUUACAGAGUGAGUUUCAGGACAGCCAGGGCUACACAGAGAAACCCUAUCUCGAAAAACCAAAAAAAGAAAAAAGAAAAAAAAAACAAAACAAAACCAAAAAUAACCCACCACCACCACCACCACCACAACAACAACAACAACAGAAAGAAAGCAGAAAGAGUUGAAGGAAGGGGAAGAGGUCAGCAUGUCCUCUGCAGCAAUCCUUUCUGCCUAUGGGAUCUUAUGAGGAAAGGCCUUGAGGGUCUUCUAUGUCUCAGGGGCAUCCUGAGUCUGUUUACACUCUCAAGUUUAAUAAACAUUGCUCCAGAAAGAAACAUUUAAACUCAGAGGACUUUGCUGAGUAACGUCACCCUGGACAAGAAAGACAUCUUUAUCUCCUUGGAAGUAGCCUUGUGAUUGGCUUUAAAGCGAAGACUCUUGGGUGAGAUUAUUAAGGGAAAAUUAAAAGAGAAUAAAAUGUUUGAUAAUGUCAUUCAAUGGUUGUGACCACAACAGAAAUGGGAUAGGUCUGGAGCGGUGGAGCAGAGAUAAAAUGAAGUGAACAUUGUAUCAAACUGCUGUGGCUUUCUGAAGGAGUGAUCAGGUGCAACUAUUGAGAUGAGCUCUAAGUUGUACAUGUAAUAGAAGCAGUCAGCAGGAUCAAUGGAGACACUAAGUAUGACAGGUCUGGAGCUGG